rnacentral:rRNA from 1 species
GACGAACGCUGGCGGCGUGCUUAACACAUGCAGGUCGAACGGAAAGGCCCUGCUUUUGUGGGGUGCUCGAGUGGCGAACGGGUGAGUAACACGUGAGUAACCUGCCCUUGACUUUGGGAUAAUUUCAGGAAACUGGGGCUAAUACCGGAUAGGAGCUCCUGCUGCAUGGUGGGGUUUGGAAAGUUUCGGCGGUUGGGGAUGGACUCGCGGCUUAUCAGCUUGUUGGUGGGGUAGUGGCUUACCAAGGCUUUGACGGGUAGCCGGCCUGAGAGGGUGACCGGCCACAUUGGGACUGAGAUACGGCCCAGACUCCUACGGGAGGCAGCAGUGGGGAAUAUUGCACAAUGGGCGGAAGCCUGAUGCAGCAACGCCGCGUGCGGGAUGACGGCCUUCGGGUUGUAAACCGCUUUCGCCUGUGACGAAGCGUGAGUGACGGUAAUGGGUAAAGAAGCACCGGCUAACUACGUG